rnacentral:lncRNA from 1 species
AAAAGCCUGUGAUGGGGGAAGGGAGUGAAGGCAUGUGCCUCCUCAUGGAACACAGGGUCGGAGUCAGUUAGGAGGGAUAAGAGUACAAUAGAGGGUUGUGUGACACAGACAGGCUGCCAGCCCUCAGCAUGGACCCGGUGCAUGGAAUCCGUGAACUUAAAAGAGUCAAGUGACUACCUUUGGCAACCAAAAGAGACACUGCCUUUUAGAAGGCAUAUCAUCUGAAAUUGGCUGAAAGAGCUGUCCUACUUAGGAAGAAAAAUCUCUCCUUUGGAAAGAGCUGGAACUUUUAGUAAAACUGAACAGUGAGGUGGCGGAAGAUAAAUAUGCUGAGGCAUGUUUUCAAGGAGGGGAGAUGGAUUCCUUUUCCUCAGCCUGGCACAGAGCCGACCUGCAGUGUAGCACUGUGGUGACCUGGCGGGAUCUGCUCUCCAGUCACUCCUGCGGGCCCUUCUGGGGACAAGGAGACUUUUCUGUGUGGCCUGUUGAUUUGAUAGAGAUGAUGUCUUGCCACAUUGCCCAGGCUGGUCUCAAACUCCUGGCCUAAAGGGAUCU